CUUACUGAUCCCAACAUCCUAUGUAUCAUUUUUCUGACCCUCAGAAAUAACCUGUAAGGAGAAGCAGGAUUACAGCAACGAGUGAAUAAAUGUGGAGAAAAUUACUGAAGACAUCUGUUGCUUCAGAGAAUUUAGGAAGUAAAUCAAGCAUGUCGGAACGAAAUUGGGAAGCCCUCCAUCAUCAAUAUGAGGCUAUUACACAGAAAAUAAAAUUAUCCGAGCUUGAUUAAGGUUCUAUGGAAUGAAAUUUUGUUUUGAAAAGAAAGUUUGCACCCAGCGUUCCAGAAGUGAGAUUGGAAGCAAACAGGCUCAUUAGCAUGAAGUACACAAUGCAUUGGCAGUAGCAACAAGAGACCUUGCCUCAACAAGAUGGAAGGUGCAUGGUAAUUGUGGUACAACACACCCAGAGGACACAUGCAGCCAAGUGAGGUGUGAAAGCAGUUCAUUUCUUUUGAAAAUUUGAUCCAGUUCCCUUCAGUAAAUGCUGUAUAGUCACAAAGGGACACACGGAAGUCAGUUUGCCACCCAGGAUUUCCACAAAGUUGAACUUUAAAAAAAUUAUGUGUUGUUAGAAUACUGGGUGCUCUUCCUAAGGACCUGGGUUCGAUUCUCAACACCUGCAUGUCUUAUCAGAAGCAUCUGUUACUCAAGUUCUAUGGAAUAUGAUGCCUUCUUCAGGUCUCUAUGAGCACCAGACACAUGUGGUACAUAGUCAUACGUGUAGGCAAAAAAUACAUAUAAGAUAACAUUAAAUAAUUUAAGACUUUAAAACUAUAUAUUGUAUGUGUGUGUCAUGAGUUG